CAAAAACAUCUUUUAAAGAAAAUUCAUAUUAAAUAUAGCCUGCUCCCUGUAAAAAAUAAAAAGCCGCAGAAAAUUUACUGUGCUAAGGUAGCAUAAUCACUUGUCUUUUAAUUAAAGACUAGAAUGAAAGGCACAACAAUUAAUUAAUUUUAUUAAUUAUUCAAUUUUAACUUUCAAUAAAAAUAAAAAUAUUUUUAUUUACAUAAAAGACGACAAGACCCUAGCGAACUUAACUGCAGUUAAGCUGGGGAAGCUUACUAAUAAUUAUCUUAACUUUUUAAUUUUAAUAAAAAUCCUUAUUUUGAAUUUGACCAAGUUACCGAAGGGAUAACAGCGUGAUAUACUUUUUAAGCUCAUAUUUAUAAAGACAUAUACGACCUCGAUGUUGAAUUAAUUUAGCUAACUUAUGCAAGAAUAAAAAAAGCAAGUCUGUUCGACUUUUAAAUAAUUACAUGAUCUGAGUUCAAACCGG
rnacentral:rRNA from 1 species